rnacentral:rRNA from 1 species
UGGGGAAUUUUGGACAAUGGGGGCAACCCUGAUCCAGCCAUGCCGCGUGAGUGAAGAAGGCCUUCGGGUUGUAAAGCUCUUUCGGCGGGGAAGAAAUCGCACAGAUUAAUACGCUGUGUGGAUGACGGUACCCGAAUAAGAAGCACCGGCUAACUACGUGCCAGCAGCCGCGGUAAUACGUAGGGUGCGAGCGUUAAUCGGAAUUACUGGGCGUAAAGCGUGCGCAGGCGGUUGUAUAAGACAGACGUGAAAUCCCCGGGCUCAACCUGGGAACUGCGUUUGUGACUGUACGACUAGAGUACGGCAGAGGGGGGUGGAAUUCCACGUGUAGCAGUGAAAUGCGUAGAGAUGUGGAGGAACACCGAUGGCGAAGGCAGCCCCCUGGGUCGAUACUGACGCUCAUGCACGAAAGCGUGGGGAGCAAACA